rnacentral:rRNA from 1 species
UACAGGGGGUGCAAACGUUGCUCGGAAUUAUUGGGCGUAAAGCGCACGUAGGCGGUUUGUUAUGUCGGAUGUGAAAGCCCUUGGCUCAACUGAGGAAGUGCAUCCGAAACUGGCAAGCUAGAGUAUGUAAGAGGGUCGCGGAAUUCCCGGUGUAGAGGUGAAAUUCGUAGAUAUCGGGAGGAACACCGGUGGCGAAGGCGGCGACCUGGGACAAUACUGACGCUGAGGUGCGAAGGCGUGGGGAGCAAACAGG